UGUUUGCACUUAGCGGGAAGGGUAAGAACCUUCGACUAAGGUUCGACUCGAGCGUCAGCGAGAGAACGUUGCCGCAGGCAACGGCCCGAAGGGCGAGGCGCUUUA
rnacentral:sRNA from 1 species